AACAAGCAUAAUUGUGUCUCUUUCCCAGGGUCGUUCUUCACUUGCUGAGGCAGCUAAACUCGUUUCAGAGAUAUCCACAUCUCCCCUUUCAAACAGGUUGUAAAAGGAUUCUCUGGAGAAGCAGUCGACAAACACAGCGUAUCUUGUCCUGUUUUGUUUGCCAAGGUCACCCAAAUGUU